AAACAUGUCUUUUUGAAAAUAAUUUAAAGUUUAAUCUGCCCACUGAUNAAAUUAUUAAAGGGCUGCAGUAUUUUGACUGUACAAAGGUAGCAUAAUCAUUAGUCUCUUAAUUGGUGACUUGUAUGAAAGAUUGGAUGAAAUAUAUACUGUCUCUAUUUAAUUUAUAAAAUUUAAUUUUUUAGUAAAAAAGCUAAAAUGAAUUUAAAAGACGAGAAGACCCUAUAGAGUUUGAUAAUUUAUUUAAUUAUUAUUAAUAUAUAAAUUUUAAAAUUAAAAUUAAAUAAAUUAUUUUGUUGGGGUGAUAGAAAAAUUAAAUUAACUUUUUUUUUAUUUUAUACAUUAAUUUAUGAAUAAAUGAUCCAUUAAUAAUGAUUAAAAGAAAAAAUUACCUUAGGGAUAACAGCGUAAUUUUUUUUUUUAGUUCAAAUAGGAAAAAAAGUUUGCGACCUCGAUGUUGGAUUAAGAUAAAAUUUAAAUGCAAAAGUUUAAAAUUUUGAUCUGUUCAAUCAUUAAAAUCUUA
rnacentral:rRNA from 1 species